AUGGCUCUUCUUCCUCCUCUGCUUCUGUCCUGCAUCUUGGUGCUGGCUCUCCCAGGGCCGGCGGUGUUGAUGGCAAGGGGCGUCACGUUCCACGUAACCAACAAGUGCCCAUUCCCGGUGUGGCCGGCUGUCGCGCCCAACGCCGGCCACCCCGUGCUCGCCGCAGGCGGUUUCUUCCUCCCUCCGGGACAGUCGAAGCGCGUCGGGGCUCCGGCCACCUGGAACGGCCGCUUCUGGGGCCGCACCGGCUGCAACUUCCCAGGCACCGGCUGCCUCACCGGCGACUGUGAAGGGCGCCUGGCCUGCAACGGGUCCGUCGGCGCCCCUCCCGCCACCCUCGUCGAGGGGAACCUGCACGAGGACCAGAGCAAGGGGAGCUCCUACGACGUGAGCGUGGUGGACGGGUACAACCUCCCUGUGGCCGUGUGGACCAGGCCGGCGAACCGCAGCGGCGACUGCUUCAUCGCCGGGUGCGCCAAGAACGUGAACGCGGUGUGCCCGCCGGAGCUGCAGGUCACUAGCGGCACGGGCAAGAAGGCAACGGUGGUGGCGUGCAGGAGCGCGUGCCUGGCCUUCGGCCUGGACGCCUUCUGCUGCCGCGGAGACGUGCCGGGGCAGCGUCUACUCGCGGCUCUUCAGGGACGCCUGCCCGGCCUACUACAGCUACGUCUACGCGCAGGAGUACGUGGUCACAUUCUGCCCGUCCAGAUGGGGCGAUCGUGGCCCAGGUUUGAGCAGUGCGUGCAGCAGCCCAGGACUGUGCUACGUAUGUAUUUUUUUUAG
rnacentral:rRNA from 1 species